GUGGGGAAUCUUGCGCAAUGGGCGAAAGCCUGACGCAGCCAUGCCGCGUGAAUGAUGAAGGUCUUAGGAUUGUAAAAUUCUUUCACCGGGGACGAUAAUGACGGUACCCGGAGAAGAAGCCCCGGCUAACUUCGUGCCGGCAGCCGCGGUAAUACGAAGGGGGCUAGCGUUGCUCGGAAUUACUGGGCGUAAAGGGCGCGUAGGCGGAUCGUUAAGUCAGGGGUGAAAUCCCAGAGGUCAACCCUGGAACUGCCCUUGAUACUGGCGAUCUUGAGUGUGAGAGAGGUAUGUGGAACUCCGAGUGUAGAGGUGAAAUUCGUAGAUAUUCGGAAGAACACCAGUGGCGAAGGCGACAUACUGGCUCAUUACUGACGCUGAGGCGCGAAAGCGUGGGGAGCAAACAGGAUUAGAAACCCUAGUAGUCC
rnacentral:rRNA from 1 species